rnacentral:rRNA from 1 species
GAUGAACGCUGGCGGCGUGCCUAAUACAUGCAAGUCGAGCGAACGGACGAGAAGCUUGCUUCUCUGAUGUUAGCGGCGGACGGGUGAGUAACACGUGGAUAACCUACCUAUAAGACUGGGAUAACUUCGGGAAACCGGAGCUAAUACCGGAUAAUAUUUUGAACCGCAUGGUUCAAAAGUGAAAGACGGUCUUGCUGUCACUUUUAGAUGGAUCCGCGCUGCAUUAGCUAGUUGGUAAGGUAACGGCUUACCAAGGCAACGAUGCAUAGCCGACCUGAGAGGGUGAUCGGCCACACUGGAACUGAGACACGGUCCAGACUCCUACGGGAGGCAGCAGUAGGGAAUCUUCCGCAAUGGGCGAAAGCCUGACGGAGCAACGCCGCGUGAGUGAUGAAGGUCUUCGGAUCGUAAAACUCUGUUAUUAGGGAAGAACAUAUGUGUAAGUAACUGUGCACAUCUUGACGGUACCCAAUCAGAAAGCCACGGCUAACUACGUG